rnacentral:lncRNA from 1 species
UUCAAUGUCCUUAAACAGGUGUUGAACUCACUUCGAAGAGUGUUUAGAUCUGAUUUGAAAAACCCAAUUGAUGCAUCAAGGGAUGGAAAGAAGAGCUUCGAAGUGAAGACAUCAACCUAAAAAAAAAAAAAGAGGAAAAGAAACAAGAAAAAUGGAAAUGGAAAAGAAAACAACAACUGUUAGAAUAAAGUUUUCACAUUGCACCAACCCAGACCAUUUUGGAAAAUCCAUCUAUUGUAGGAGACACAUAGUGCCGCC